AUAAUUGGUUGCAUUGGGAGGUGAUCGUUAAGGGGGGGGUCCACUGUAUAAUCAGUCCAUCACCCUUGGAGAAAAAAGUUAAUGGUCUAAUUACAUUAUCUUCACUACUACACUGCUGCCUCUGUAUUUGACUUAACAAGCCUACUGUGUAGGUCAGACAUUUCAACAAUAAACAUACCCAACUGCUGCCCAUAUUUUAAUCAUUAUUGAUGAGUGCAAUUGUCUCACGCAGAAAGAUAAAGUAUAAAAGAUAUACUAAUUAGAAACAAUGGCAGGUGAUGGUAAUUAGGUACAGUACUAGGUAGCAUUUCAGGGAUAUCCUCUGCUCACCUAAUGUGUUUAUUCCAAAGAAAUGAUUUAAUUCUUGGUUAACAACCUUCAUUAUCAUUUUCUGUAAACGAAGAGACUUUGUAGAAACAGUUUUGUGUGAACAAUGUUUUGCUCUAGAACUUGAUCAAGUUGUGAUGAAACAUUACACUGAGUUAAUGAUGAAUUAAACACAUGUUCAGCAUGUAUUCCUUGAUGUUGCUGUGUCUGAUGAGUUGCAUAUCAGUGGUAUUUGAUAGCAACAAGAUGAUGAAUUAGACGCAUGCUCAACAUCUGGGGGAUUCCUUGAUGUUGCUGUGUCUGAUGAGUUGCACAUCAGUGGUAUUCAUUAGCACCAGAUGAUGAAUUAGACACAUAUUCAACAUACGAGUGAAAUAUUACCCCUGUUCAAGCUUCUACAGUCUCUACUAUCAUUGGCAGUAGGUCAUUUUGACCUAUCAUUCUCUGUAGUGAUAACCUACCAUUAAUGGUCUGAUUUUUGUGUGUAACGAGCAGGUUUAAGCUGAAGAUUACUGUUACAUCCCUCUCAAUGCUGCUCAUAGCAGUGAUGUGGAAUGUUUGUGUUUAUUUGCUAGUUAUAUUGCAAGUUAAAAUGUCUAGCAUGACAGUCUGUUGACUUACGCCAGUUGCAACAAAUAACAUGCAAGUAUCAGUAACGUGAGGUGCAAAAGGUCUUUGGAUGCUGUUAAAACCCUAGACAAUGUUUUGAUAUAUGUAUGUACCUUUUGUAUAUGGCCAGUGUAUUGGAAGAGUGACGAGAGGCAACACUGUAGUCCUCUUCUCCAAUAUACUACAGUGAAACUGUAAAACAUUGUGAAUAUCAUCCUAUUAACUGUAUCAUGUGGUGCUACUAAGAUGGACAAAUGGCACUUGUGAAAAUGUAUAUUGUGAAAAUAGUUGGGCCUUAAGCUGUAGCACCACCGUCAGGCUUGUUCAUCGGAUACACGGCAUUGCUCACUAUGUCAUUAACGACCCCAAGGUAAAAACCUAACGACUGCCGUUGAAUAAAUGAAACACUGGAUGGAGACUUGACCCAAUAAUUUAUACUUAUAAACCAGGGAAUAGGUUAGGUUUGAAUUUAUGGCAAGUGAGUCGUAAAACCCCAGGCUUGUGCGUAAACCCUGGUUUAUUUCCAGUCGUGUUAUUACGAUUUUGAGAGUCACGCUUUUAGCAAACCCAGCACUGCCACCUCAGGCUGAGUGGUUGCAACACCAAGUCAGCAAUGUCGGUGGACUACAAUUCAUAUCUCCAUCCAGACUUUCAUUUAUUCACGUCUCGAACAAAUUUGUAGUUGGUUCUUCCUUGAAUAAUUUAGAUUGAGGCUGUUUUGAAUGUAUAUCAGAUAUGAAGACAUGAUGAUAGUGUUUCUCGGUGAUUCCCAUGAACAAGUUGUUUUCAUUUCAUCUAUGUUACAAAUCAUAUAAUCUCCCCAGUUGAACAUAAACCCAUACCAUGCCUUUAAAUAUCUGUAUAGCAACACUUAGUUUCCUUUGCAUCAAAGACCAUAUCAUUUUCAUAUAUUUUUAAUUUAUCUUUCUGUUUUGACUAUUAUUUCUUUACACUCUGACUCAGGUGAGAGAUAACUUACACUGGUCCAGGUGAGAGAUAACUUACACUCUGGCCCAGGUGAGAGGUAACUUACACUCUGGCCCAGGUGAGAGAUAACUUACAUGUACAGUACUUACUUUCACACAUUCCUUACCUACAUAACCUGUCCAAAUAUCCCUUACAUAUAUACCCUGUCUCCACAUACCAACAUACCCUGUCCUCCACACACUGGACCUACGUUGUCAUUAUUCCCAUGAACCUCCAAGAGCUGCACCACCAUACAUUCACAAAUCAUUCUAUUUCUUUUUCCAGUUCAGGCAGUGUUAAUUUAUAUCCCUUUCGAAAGAUUAUAAAUUCUGUAUUUUCCAGCACAUAAGGCGCACAGUGUUCCCAAGCAGUUGUAAUGUUAGUAAACAUCUGAUAAAGCCUAACUUGAGGCCUACCCUUGAUCCUGAUCUUCACUAUAUAAAGCUCAGGCUGACUUUCCAAGACCUCUUUAUAUGGGUGGGGAAAAGCGUGCCUUAUAUGCAAGAAAAUACAGUACUGCCUCUGAUCUUAAUUGUGUGUGUGUGUGUGUGUGUGUGUGUGUGUGUGUGUGUGUGUGUGUGUGUGGAUGUGUGGGUGUGUGUGUGUGGAUGUGUGGGUGUGCAGGUUCUGUCUUAAUCUUGCAGUAAGUUAUUUCCCCAUUACGUACAUUCUCUUCCUUCACUUCAAAACAUGCUUCAUGGCGCAAAUGAAUGUAAGAGAUUUUCUUCUUAAUAAAAUUGUGAUGAUAA